CUUUCAGUUAUAAUUAAACUUACACAUGCAAGUCUCCCACUCCGGUGAAAAUGCCCUUUAUCUUCCAAUUAUUAGAAGAAAAGGAGUUGGUAUCAGGCUCAAAUAGCCCAAGACACCUAGCUUUGCCACACCUCCAAAGGAAUUCAGCAGUGAUUAACAUUAAAUAUUAGCGCAAGCUAAAUUUAGUUAUAAUUAAUAAGGUCGGUUAAUUUCGUGCCAGCCACCGCGGUUAUACGAAAGACUUAAACUGAAAGCCACCGGCGUAAAGCGUGAUUAAGGGUAAAAUUUUCUAAAGCUAAACUCUGAUUUAAUUGUUAUAAGUUUUUAUCAGUUGGAAACUCAUUCACGAAAGUAGCUUUAUUAUUCCUGACUUCCCCGUAGCCAAGACCCAAACUGGGAUUAGAUACCCCACUAUGCUUGGCCCUAAACUUUGAUAAUUACAUUUCUC
rnacentral:rRNA from 1 species